CCUGGAGCGCGGCGGUGAUGGCGGGGCCGGUGAAGGACCGCGAGGCCUUCCAGAGGCUCAACUUCCUGUACCAGGCCGCCCAUUGUGUCCUUGCCCAGGACCCCGAGAACCAGGCGCUGGCGAGGUUUUACUGCUACACUGAGAGGACCAUUGCGAAGCGGCUCGUCUUGCGGCGGUGAGACAGCCACGGGGCGGGCGGCGGGCGGGACGCGGGAGGAACGCGAGAGGGAGCGCGGGCGCCAGACCACUAUCCUCCUCCGCCCCCAGGGAUCCCUCGGUGAAGAGGACUCUCUGUCGAGGCUGCUCUUCCCUCCUCGUCCCGGGCCUCACCUGCACCCAGCGCCAGAGACGCUGCAGGGGACAGCGCUGGACCGUACAGACCUGCCUAACAUGCCAGCGCAGCCAACGCUUCCUCAAUGAUCCCGGGCAUUUACUCUGGGGAGACAGGCCUGAGGCCCAGCUCGGGAGCCAAGCAGAUUCCAAACCACUACAACCCUUGCCAAACACAGCCCACUCCAUUUCAGACCGCCUUCCUGAGGAGAAAAUGCAGACUCAGGGUUCCAGUAACCAGUGAUGGAUUCACCCCAUCUCCCAAAUAAAGUUUACUUGUUUUACAUUCCA
rnacentral:lncRNA from 10 species